CAUGCAAGUCGAACGGAAAUCUUUUAGAUUUUAGUGGCGAACGGGUGAGUAACACGUAAGCAACCUGCCUUUAAGACGAGAAUAACAAUUGGAAACAGUUGCUAAGGCUGGAUAGGAAAUAAAAAGGCAUCUUUUUAUUUUUAAAAGACCUUUUUCGGAAGGUAUGCUUAAAGAGGGGCUUGCGUCACAUUAGUUAGUUGGUAGGGUAAAGGCCUACCAAGACGAUGAUGUGUAGCUGGACUGAGAGGUUGAACAGCCACAUUGGGACUGAGACACGGCCCAAACUCCUACGGGAGGCAGCAGUAGGGAAUUUUCGGCAAUGGAGGAAACUCUGACCGAGCAACGCCGCGUGAACGACGAAGUACUUCGGUAUGUAAAGUUCUUUUAUUGAAGAAGAAACAAUAGUGGAAAAACUAUCUUGACGUUAUUCAAUGAAUAAGCCCCGGCUAACUAUGUGCCAGCAGCCGCGGUAAUACAUAGGGGGCGAGCGUUAUCCGGAAUUAUUGGGCGUAAAGGGCGCGUAGGCGGUUUAAUAAGUCUCUAGUUUAAUUUCAACGCUUAACGUUGUCCUGCUAGAGAAACUGUUUAACUAGAGUGAGAUAGAGGUAAGCGGAAUUCCAUGUGUAGCGGUAAAAUGUGUAAAUAUAUGGAGGAACACCAGAGGCGUAGGCGGCUUACUGGGUCUUUACUGACGCUGAUGCACGAAAGCGUGGGGAGCAAACAGGAUUAGAUACCCUGGUAGUCCACGCCGUAAACUAUGAGUACUAAGUGUCGGGGUUAAACUCGGUACUGAAGUUAACACAUUAAGUACUCCGCCUGAGUAGUACGUACGCAAGUAUGAAACUUAAAGGAAUUGACGGGAUCCCGCACAAGCGGUGGAUCAUGUUGUUUAAUUCGAAGAUACACGAAAAACCUUACCAGGUCUUGACAUACUCUGCAAAGCUAUAGAAAUAUAGUGGAGGUUAUCAGGGAUACAGGUGGUGCAUGGUUGUCGUCAGCUCGUGUCGUGAGAUGUUAGGUUAAGUUCUAAAACGAGCGCAACCCCUGUCGUUAAUUGCCAGCACGUUAUGGUGGGGACUUUAGCGAGACUGCCAAUGAAAAAUUGGAGGAAGGUGGGGAUUACGUCAAAUCAUCAUGCCCCUUAUGAUCUGGGCUACAAACGUGAUACAAUGGCUAUUACAAAGAGUAGCUGAAACGCGAGUUUUCGGCAAAUCUCAAAAAAAUAGUCUCAGUUCGGAUUGAAGUCUGCAACUCGACUUCAUGAAGUUGGAAUCGCUAGUAAUCGCGAAUCAGCAUGUCGCGGUGAAUACGUUCUCGGGGUUUGUACACACCGCCCGUCAAACCACGAAAGUGGACAAUACCCGAAAGCGACAGCCUAACUGCGUAAGC
rnacentral:rRNA from 1 species